rnacentral:tRNA from 1 species
GCCGGGGUGGCGGAACUGGUAGACGCGCCGGAUUCAAAAUCCGGUUCUGGCAACAGAGUGUGGGUUCGAUUCCCACCCUCGGCACCA